rnacentral:lncRNA from 1 species
AGCAAAAACAAUUUUUUCUCACAUGCACGUGAGUCUUCCCACUGCUGGUGACCCCAUACGCAAAUAAUGGACCUGGAAGGAAAUCAUAGACAAAAUAAAUAAAUGGUGGAUGAUAUCAUUUGUGCAACUUAAAUAUAUCCAAAUACCAAGAAAAAGAGUACAAUUCCUCUAACUUGUAGUGCAAGAUGCCAAUAACUUUAAUUGGUAGAGAAAUUAGCCUUUGCCUAUUUAAACAAUCUAAAUUCCCAGGUUAUUUUGUAGUUACUAGUUAGCGAUUUGUCAGUCUUGACAGGGAAAGCUUUGGUUGCCUAGGAAUGAAAACAAAUGGUAGAACUGAGAAGUUGUUGUACAUCCUUAUAGGUUCUCAAGUCAAUUGCAAUGAAAAGGAUUGACAAGCUUAUGAUUUCUAGGGUCCGCCCAAAACUAAUGGUUUCAGCAUUUCCUUAUACAACAAACCAUCAAGUCCCAAGAUUUCUCACCCUCAUUCACUACUCACCCAUUGCAACCAUACUUCAGCAACUGAGCAUUAAAAAUGCACUCCCACCCUCUAGCAUUGUUCAGCAAGGUAAUGUGGGAUCAGAACUGGAAGUCCUCAGAAUGCUGUUGAGCAAGUGAUUGAGGUGAAGAUCAUCCAUCAUAUGACAUCAAUUAGGCAUCGAUAACAGGUUUGCAGUUGAUCAAAAAUUUCACGGCUUCAUGUAUGUACUCUGUAGGGGUUAUAUGACUUAUAUCACAUCUUCCAAAUAUUUUGAUGAAUAUAGAUGAAAAGUUCAAAUGGUUUCAUGAAUGACUAAAUGUUAGGUGCUCUGAUCAAUAUGAGACU